rnacentral:misc_RNA from 1 species
GAGCCCCUCUCUGUGUGUGUGAAUUUGGUGGCAAUGGAUCGAACUCAGCUUCUUCUAGUGGGUUUACCCCUUUUUCUGUUCAUCUCCGAUCUCUUCCAAUUAUUUACUCCUCCGCCGCAAAAACCCAAUUCCGAUCACCACCAUCACCACCACCAGCCGCCGCCACUGAUUCAACAACCUCAGACUCUUGAAUUUCCGACUCAGAAAACUGGUGGUAUUGGUGCAGUUGGUAUUGGUAACACUGUCACCAUUGAUUUCUGCUCUUCCUGUUCUUACAGAGGGACAGCUGUGACGAUGAAAAACAUGUUGGAUAAUCAGUUUCCUGGUAUCCAUGUCGUCCUUGCUAACUAUCCUCCUCCACUUCCAAAACGUUUGCUGGGAAAAGUAGUACCUGUUUUCCAAUUUGGAGUCAUUGGCCUUGUAAUGGCUGGUGAACAAAUAUUUCCUAGGUUGGGUAUUGCGGUACCACCUCCAUGGUUCUAUCAGUUACGUGCGAACAGAUUUGGGACUAUGGCAACUACUUGGCUCCUAGGAAAUUUCUUUCAGUCCAUGCUGCAAAGCUCUGGUGCUUUUGAAGUGUAUUGUAAUGGUGAACUGGUUUUCUCUAAACUGAAAGAGAAUAGGUUUCCUGGCGAACUCGAGCUGAAAGAUCUAGUUGCCAGAAAGAUUACUAACCCAGCGGUAGUUGAUGGCCUUGGUGCAUCUUCCUGGUCGUAGAUGUGUAGAUUUCACGAGAUCAAUGGUUAUAUGGUAUCGAUAAAAAGGACUUUUUUGUUCCUCAAAUCUUUGUGACAUUUGAUAUUUAUGAUGUACAAACACUUCACUCUCACAAUGCAAACAGUAUCUAGUAGCAGGUUGAAAGAAUA